rnacentral:rRNA from 1 species
GACGAACGCUGGCGGCGUGCUUAACACAUGCAAGUCGAACGGAAAGGCCCUGCUUUUUUGGUGUUCUCGAGUGGCGAACGGGUAAGGAACACGUAAGUAACCUGCUCUUGACUUUGGUAUAACUUCAGGAAACUGGGGUUAAUACCGUAUAGGAGCUCCUGCUGCAUUGUAGGGGUUGGAAAGUCUCGGCUGGUGGGGUUGGACUCGCGGCUUAUCAGCUUGUUGGUUGGGUAGUGGCUUACCAAGGCUUUGACGGGUAGCCGGCCUGAGAGGGUGACCGGCCACAUUGGGACUGAGAGACGGCGCAGACUGCAAUGGGAGGCAGCAGUGGGAAAUAUUGUACAAUGAGAGGAAGCCUGAUGAAGCAACGCCGCGUGCGGGAUGACGGUCUUCGGGUAGUAAAACGCUUUAGCCUGUGACGAAGCGUGAGUGACGGUAAUGAGUAAAGAAGCACCGGCUAACUACGUG